rnacentral:rRNA from 1 species
UGGGGAAUAUUGCACAAUGGGGGAAACCCUGAUGCAGCGACGCCGCGUGAACGAAGAAGGUAUUCGUAUCGUAAAGUUCUGUCCUAUGGGAAGAUAAUGACAGUACCAUAGAAGAAAGCUCCGGCUAAAUACGUGCCAGCAGCCGCGGUAAUACGUAUGGAGCGAGCGUUGUCCGGAAUUAUUGGGCGUAAAGGGUACGCAGGCGGUUUAAUAAGUCGAAUGUUAAAGAUCGGGGCUCAACCCCGCAAAGCAUUGGAAACUGAUAAACUUGAGUAGUGGAGAGGAAAGUGGAAUUCCUAGUGUAGUGGUGAAAUACGUAGAUAUUAGGAGGAAUACCAGUAGCGAAGGCGACUUUCUGGACACAAACUGACGCUGAGGUACGAAAGCGUGGGGAGCAAGCAGG